rnacentral:rRNA from 1 species
UGAGGAAUAUUGGACAAUGGAUGGAAAUCUGAUCCAGCCAUGCCGCGUGCAGGAAGAAUGUCCUAUGGAUUGUAAACUGCUUUUGUAUGGGAGCAAUAAGGUAUUCGUGAAUACCGAUGAGAGUACCAUACGAAUAAGCACCGGCUAACUCCGUGCCAGCAGCCGCGGUAAUACGGAGGGUGCAAGCGUUAUCCGGAUUUAUUGGGUUUAAAGGGUGCGUAGGCGGUUAUAUAAGUCAGCGGUGAAAUUUUUCGGCUCAACCGGAAACAUGCCGUUGAUACUGUAUAGCUUGAAUAUGGUUGCUGUGAGUGGAAUGUGUAGUGUAGCGGUGAAAUGCUUAGAUAUUACACAGAAUAUCGAUUGCGAAGGCAACUCACAAAGCCAAUAUUGACGCUGAGGC